UACGUAGGGUGCAGGCGUUAAUCGGAAUUACUGGGCGUAAAGCGUGCGCAGGCGGUUUGCUAAGACAGGUGUGAAAUCCCCGGGCUUAACCUGGGAACUGCGCUUGUAACUGGCAAGCUAGAGUGUGGCAGAGGAGGGUGGAAUUCCACGUGUAGCAGUGAAAUGCGUAGAGAUGUGGAGGAACACCGAUGGCGAAGGCAGCCCUCUGGGCUAACACUGACGCUCAUGCACGAAAGCGUGGGGAGCAAACAGG
rnacentral:rRNA from 1 species